rnacentral:rRNA from 1 species
GAUGAACGCCGACAGAAUGCUUAACACAUGCCAGUCAACUUGAAUUUGGGUUUUUAACUUAGGUUUGGGUGGCGGACGGGUGAGUAACGCGUAAAGAACUUGCCUCACAGCUAGGGACAACAUUUGGAAACGAAUGCUAAUACCUAAUAUUAUGAUAAUAGGGCAUCCUAUAAUUAUGAAAGCUAUAAGCGCUGUGAGAGAGCUUUGCGUCCCAUUAGCUAGUUGGAGAGGUAACGGCUCACCAAGGCGAUGAUGGGUAGCCGGUCUGAGAGGGUGAUCGGCCACAAGGGGACUGAGACACGGCCCUUACUCCUACGGGAGGCAGCAGUGGGGAAUAUUGGACAAUGGACCGAGAGUCUGAUCCAGCAAUUCUGUGUGCACGAUGAAGUUUUUCGGAAUGUAAAGUGCUUUCAGUUGGGAAGAAACAAAUGACGGUACCAACAGAAGAAGUGACGGCUAAAUACGUG